rfam:Schistosoma rodhaini strain Burundi genome assembly, scaffold: SROB_contig0004263
GCACUGCUGAGGAGUCCCACAAUAGGAUGAGACGGCCGUCCAGUGC